rnacentral:rRNA from 1 species
CGAACGCUGGCGGCGUGCUUAACACAUGCACGUCGAACGGAAAGGCCCUGCUUUUGUGGGGUGCUCGAGUGGCGAACGGGUGAGUAACACGUGAGUAACCUGCCCUUGACUUUGGGAUAACUUCAGGAAACUGGGGCUAAUACCGGAUAGGAGCUCCUGCUGCAUGGUGGGGGUUGGAAAGUUUCGGCGGUUGGGGAUGGACUCGCGGCUUAUCAGCUUGUUGGUGGGGUAGUGGCUUACCAAGGCUUUGACGGGUAGCCGGCCUGAGAGGGUGACCGGCGACAUUGGGACUGAGAGACGGCCCAGACGCCUACGGGAGGCAGCAGUGGGGAAUAUUGCACAAUGGGCGGAAGCCUGAUGCAGCAACGCCGCGUGCGGGAUGACGGCCUUCGGGUUGUAAACCGCUUUCGCCUGUGACGAAGCGUGAGUGACGGUAAUGGGUAAAGAAGCACCGGCUAACUACGUG